rnacentral:lncRNA from 1 species
AAAGAAAGAGUUGUAUACGAUGCAACCAGAAGGUUUUGUCAAUCCUAAAGGUGCUAACAAAAUAAGCAAGCUCCAGCGAUCCAUCUAUGGACUGGUGCAAGCAUCUCGGAGUUGGAAUAAACGCUUUGAUAGUAUGAUCAAAGCAUAUAGAUUUAUACAGACUUGCGGUGAAGCCUGUAUUUACAAGAAAGUGAGUGGGAGCACUACAACAUUUCUGAUAAGUAUAUAUGAAUGACAUAUUGUUGAUCGGAAAUAAUGUAGAAUUAUUCUACAAAGCAUAAAGGAGUGUUUGAAAGGAGUUUUUCAAAGAAAGACCUCGGUGAAGCUGCUUACAUAUUGAGCAUCAAGAUCUAUAGAGAUAGAUCAAGAUGCUUGAUAAGUUUUUUUCAAUGAGUACAUACCUUGACAAGAUUUUGAAGUAGUUCAAAAUAGAACAGUCAUAGAAAGGGUUCUUACCUGUGUUAUAAGGUAUGAAAUUGAGUAAGACUCAAAGCCCGACCACGGCAGAAGAUAGAAAGAGAAUGAAAGUCAUUCCCUAUGCCUCAGCCAUAGGUUCUAUAAAGUAUGCCAUGCUGUGUACCAGAUCUAUUGUAUACCCUACACUGAUUUUGGCAAGGGAGUACAAUAGUGAUCUAGGAGUAGAUCACUGGACAGCGGUCAAAAUUAUCCUUAGCGGAAUAAGGAUAUGUUUCUCGAUUAUGGAGGUGACAAAAGGUUCGUUGUAAAGAGUUACAUCGAUGCAAGUUUUGACACUGAUCUAGAUAACUUUAAGUAUCAAUCUGGAUACAUACUGAAAGUGGGAGCAAUUAGUUAGAGUAGCUCCGUGCAGAGCAUUGUUGACAUAGCUAUUUGUAAAAUACAUACGGAUCUGAAUAUGGCAAACCCGUUGACUAAAAUUCUCUCACAAGCAAAACAUGAUCACACCUUAGUACUCUUUGGGUGUUAAUCACAUAGCGAUGUGAACUAGAUUACUGAAUCUAGUAAACCCUUUGGGUGUUGGUCACAUGGCGAUAUGAACUAUGGGUGUUAAUCACAUGAUGAUGUGAACUAUCGAUGUUAAUCACAUGGUGAUGUGAUCUAGAUUAUUGAAUCUAGUGCAAGUGGGAGACUGAAGGAAAUAUGCCCUAGAGGCAAUAAUAAAGUUAUUAUUUAUUUCCUUAUAUCAUGAUAAAAGUUUAUUAUUCAUGCUAGAAUUGUAUUAACCGGAAACAUAAUACAUGUGUGAAUACAUAGACAAAGAGAGUGUCACUAGUAUGCCUCUACUUGAUUAGCUCGUUAAUCAAAGAUGGUUAUGUUUCCUAACCAUGGACAAAGAGUUGUCAUUUGAUUAACGGGAUCACAUCAUUAGUUGAAUGAUCUGAUUGACAUGACCCAUUCCAUUAGCUUAGCACCCGAUCGUUUAGUAUGUUGCUAUUGCUUUCUUCAUGACUUAUACAUGUUCCUAUGACUAUGAGAUUAUGCAACUCCCGUUUGCCGGAGGAACACUUUGUGUGCUACCAAACGUCACAACGUAACUGGAUGAUUAUAAAGGAGCUCUACAGGUGUCUCCAAAGGUACAUGUUGGGUUGCCGUAUUUUGAGAUUAGGAUUUGUCACUCCGAUUAUCGGAGAGGUAUCUCUCGGCCCUCUUGGUAAUGCACAUCACUUAAGCCUUGCAAGCAUUGCAACUAAUGAGUUAGUUGCGGGAUGAUGUAUUACGGAACGAGUAAAGAGACUUGCCGGUAACGAGAUUGAACUAGGUAUGGGAUACUGACGAUCGAAUCUCGGGCAAGUAACAUACCGAUGACAAAGGGAACAACGUAUGUUGUUAUGCGGUCUGACCGAUAAAAGAUCUUCGUAGAAUAUGUAGGAGCCAAUAUGAGCAUCCAGGUUCCGCUAUUGGUUAUUGACCGGAGACGUGUCUCGGUCAUGUCUACAUUGUUCUCAAACCUGUAGGGUCCGCACGCUUAAGGUUACGAUGACAGUUAUAUUAUGAGUUUAUGCAUUUUGAUGUACCGAAGAUUGUUCAUAGUCCUGGAUGUGAUGACGGACAUGACGAGGAGUCUCGAAAUGGUCGAGACAUAAAGAUUGAUAUAUUAGAAGCCUAUGUUUGGAUAUCGGAAGUGUUCCGAAUGAAAUCGGGAUUUUACCGGAGUACCGGGAGGUUACCGGAACCCCCCGGGAGGUAUAUGGGCCUUAGUGGGCCUUAGUGGGAGAUAGGAGAGGUGGCCAGGGAUGGGCCGCGCGCCCCUCCCCCCCUUAGUCCGAAUAGGACAAGGAGAGAGGGGGCCGGCGCCCCCCUUCCUUCUCUCUCUCUUUCCCCCCUUCACGAAUCCUAUUCUAACUAGGAAAGGGGGGAGUCCUACUCCCGGAAGGAGUAGGACUCCUCCUGGCGCGCCACCUCUUGGCCGGCCAGCCCCCCCCCUUUGAGCCUUUAUAUACGGAGGCACGGGGCACCCCUAGAGACACAAGUUGAUCCACGUGAUCAUAUUCUUAGCCGUGUGCGGUGCCCCCUUCCACCAUAGAUCUCGAUAAUAUUGUAGCAGUGCUUAGGCGAAGCCCUGCGAUGGUGGUACAUCAAGAUCGUCACCACGCCGUCAUGCUGACGGAACUCUUCCCCGACACUUUGCUGGAUAGGAGUCCGGGGAUCGUCAUCGAGCUGAACGUGUGCUAGAACUCGGAGGUGCCGUAGUUUCGGUGCUUGAUCGAUCGGGCCGUGGAGACGUACGACUACAUCAACCAAGUUAACGCUUCCGUUGUCGAUCUACAAGGGUACGUAGAUCACACUCUCCCCCUCUCGUUGAUAUGCAUCACCAUGAUCUUGCGUGUGCGUAGGAAAUUUUUUGAAAUUNNNNNNNNNNNNNNNNNNNNNNNNNNNNNNNNNNNNNNNNNNNNNNNNNNNNNNNNNNNNNNNNNNNNNNNNNNNNNNNNNNNNNNNNNNNNNNNNNNNNNNNNNNNNNNNNNNNNNNNNNNNNNNNNNNNNNNNNNNNNNNNNNNNNNNNNNNNNNNNNNNNNNNNNNNNNNNNNNNNNNNNNNNNNNNNNNNNNNNNNNNNNNNNNNNNNNNNNNNNNNNNNNNNNNNNNNNNNNNNNNNNNNNNNNNNNNNNNNNNNNNNNNNNNNNNNNNNNNNNNNNNNNNNNNNNNNNNNNNNNNNNNNNNNNNNNNNNNNNNNNNNNNNNNNNNNNNNNNNNNNNNNCUCAUUUAAGCACCCAUGCAUUGGAAAGAAGCCUUACAUUGUUGGCUACUUUACAACAAGCAUUUCACCAUCACCAUUGGCCAUUAGCAAUAAGUGCGUUAGAUCCUACCUUACUUGCUUAGGGGAUCAUUGUAGGGGCACAUGUGCUUGUAUUUUUUUUACAUAUGUUCCGACUUCCAGACGGUUUUCUUUCAGUGCUAUAAUAUGCAUGUCGAUUAUGAGGUGUCUAUUUCAAAAUCUACCAGAUCAGGUGCUCCAUUUUCUAGAAGUAAUCCAGACUGUAUGGGCGCUAUUCUUUUAGUAUUAUGAUGUGCCCAUCAAUUAGGAAAUGCAUGUGGAAACUUUAUAAAUCUCAAGAUCUAUUUACUAGUAUUUUUUUUUUGCUUGGCAAUAUGUGUCCCAUUUUCACAUAAUAAAGGCCAAGUUACAAGCCACGUAUAGUUCCAAAUAACGGAGAUAGCACGCAAUAGCGCUAGCGCAAUAGUGUGUCCGGUACUACUCAAAUUAAAUGUCAGUAUUUUUUGUUAAUGAUAUAUAAAUAUACACAAUAAUAUAGUGUUUUUACAAAUCCGCUACGUGGACAUAGCGCCCGCAAUAUCGCCCGCUAUCCGCAUUCCGCUACGCAGACCCCAAUCCGCUAUUUAAAACCAGUCAAAACUGAAAAUGCUCAUAAUGGUAGGGAGUAUGUUCACAUACGUAAACAUAUGUAUUUGUACUGUGUUUCAAAAGAACAUGAUCUUUAUAUUUUCGGGUAUGCCACCAACUUAGAGUCAUGGAUAGAAGUACCUCGGAUGGUCUUCUUUUUUGAGCCUUGCUAUAUAUUUUUUAGCCUAAGUAACUCGAACGGUCAGUUUUCAGCAAAUUACCCAGUUCGUGCUUCGCUGCGUUUUACAGAAGUGUUUGCAGGACUGGAUCAAGUCGUGCCAUUAGAAGAACCGGUCCUAAUGGCCAUUAGAAGUGUUGCUAAGAUUUUUAAUGCACUUAGCACCUCAUCUAAGCACCUAUGCAUUGGAAAGAAGCCUUACAUUGUUGGCUACUUUACAACAAGCAUUUCAUCAUCACCAUUGGUCAUUAGCAAUAAAUGCGUUAGAUCCUACCUUACUUGCUUAGGGGAUCAUUGUAGGGGCACAUGUGCUUGUAUUUUUUUUAGAUAUGUUCCGACUUCCAGACGGUUUUCUUUCAGUUCUAUAAUAUGCAUGUCGAUUAUGAGGUGUCUAUUUCAAAAUCUACCAGACCAGGUGCUCCAUUUUCUAGAAGUAAUCCAGACUUUAUGGGCGCUAUUCUUUUAGUAUUAUGAUGUGCCCAUCAAUUAGGAAAUGCAUGUGGAAACUUUAUAAAUCUCAAGAUCUAUUUACUAGUAUAUUUUUUGCUUGGCAAUAUGUGUCCCAUUUUCACAUAAUAAAGGCCAAGUUACAAGCCACGUAUAGUUCCAAAUAACGGAGAUAGCACGCAAUAGCGCUAGCGCAAUAGUGUUCGGUACUACUCAAAUUAAAUGUCAGUACUUUUUGUUAAUGAUAUAUAAAUAUACACAAUAAUAUAGUGUUUUUACAAAUCCGCUACAUGGACAUAGCGCCCGCAAUAUCGCCCGCUAUCCGCAUUCCGCUACGCAGACCCCAAUCCGCUAUUUAAAACCAGUCAAAACUGAAAAUGCUCAUAAUGGUAGGGAGUAUGUUCACAUACGUAAACAUAUGUAUUUGUACUGUGUUUCAAAAGAACAUGAUCUUUAUAUUUUCGGGUAUGCCACCAACUUAGAGUCAUGGAUAGAAGUACCUCGGAUGGUCUUCUUUUUUGAGCCUUGCUAUAUUUUUUUUUAGCCUAAGUAACUUGAACGGUCAGUUUUCAGCAAAUUACCCAGUUCGUGCUUCGCUGCGUUUUACAGAAGUGUUUGCAGGACUGGAUCAAGUCGUGCCAUUAGGAGAACCGAUCCAAAGUUGUCAAUGCAGACCUGCUGAAAUUACAGCAAGGACUCCGUGGCCCAAUGGAUAAGGCGCUGGUCUACGAAACCAGAGAUUCUGGGUUCGAUCCCCAGCGGAGUCGGUUUUGUACUUUUUUGUUUUGCACAUUCUUAUUUUUACAUAAAAAAACCUACCGAGCGUGCUUCGAAGCUCCUGCGACGAACAUUUUGUUUUACCCACGGUUUCCCCGAGUCUCUCUCCCAUAGUCACUGGCCUUGCGCAGCACUUGUUUCGAGAAUUACUUGUCCCGUUCUCCGGUCCACCGCCCACACCGGCUUGCCUGAGCAAAUACGACCCCCUGUAUGUUCACGGAUGUGAAGCCGGUCACCCCUUGUUUAUCCACGGUUGCAACCACAUCCCACAUCUGCAAAUCCUCGUUCUCAUGCUGCUUCGUGCAACGUUUGUUUGGUCGCACCUACACCAUGUAUGAAACACACAAGCUAUGUUCAAAAGGCAAGAUAUCCUAGAACUACUCGCCGUCGUCGAAGAUGUGGAUGACUCUCUUGCUGGAGCCGCCAACCUCGUGGUCAGGCGGCAUGGCGAAUCUCCGGCGUUUCCUCCUCCCCGUCAUUGUCCGCAAAGAGCCGCUCCUGCCUCACUUCGCGCAAGUGGAUAAGGCGGCGACUCGCCGCCACCUCCCGCUCGGACUAAAGCGAGCCGAGGAUGGCUUGGUUUUCGACCACAGGGCCGAGAUCGACGACGAGCGUCACGCGGGCGGCAGCACCCGCUUGCUUCGCGCUCCAACCGUUCCGCCUCCGCCUCCUCCAUGCGCGGCGCCUGCUCCUCCAUGCCCUCCAUGCCGACGCAAUGCGACAUGACGUUACUUGACAACGCCCAUCUCGGCCGCUAUCUCUGCCCAACGCUCCGGCUUCUGUCGAACCAUGACUGAUGGCAAGGGUCGGAGCGGAAGGGGGCACAUACGGGGAAGCAAUGGCGGCGGGGACGAGAGGAAAGUGGGUGGGAUGUGGCAGCUAGGGUUUGCCCUCGCCGUUCAGCUUAAAUAGCUAGGUUCUUGGCUCCUCGGAUGACGCACCGACCCACGCCAUGAAUGCGGCCACCAAAUUGAUGACCUCCCUUGACGGACCAAAGUAUUUUCGCGUCCGUCUGUCAAUGCGACAUGACGGAUGCGUCCAAAUAGACUCAAAUCCGUCCCAUAUAUGGAUUGUGUUCGAAAGGUGCCGGACAGUCCGGACAUAUGGGUUAGAUGAUCACAACAGCAGGUAGCAUGUAUCACGAGCGAACAAUCUUCCAUGAUUAUACACAAGUCCAGCAAGUCCCAGAUUCCGGUUAGUAACAACUUACCUCGGCGCGGCGGCGGUCGGCGUCGGUCACUUCCCGAAGCUGCUCCUGCACUUCUGCGACGAAAUGUGCACGUGCUUCCCUAGCCCCGCCGUUCUCAUCUCGCACGCCACGGCCAGCCUCUUGGCCGCGAACGCGAGCGCGCCCACGUGCACCUGCACGGGGAACUCCACGGCGAGCUCCAGCGCCACGGCCUCCUUCUUGGACCCCCCGAGCGCCUUCUCCACCGCCUUGGGUGUCGCGUGGCCGCCGCCGCCGCGCAGCAGCACGCUGAAGUCCUUGGCGUCCACGCCGCCGUCCUCUGGCGUGCCCACGUCCGCGGCCUUGGCCAGGGCCGUGCCCCGGUGCAGCAGCCUGGCCGCGCCCCCGUCCUUGUACCACAGCGCGGUCACCUUGUUGGGGUUGACCGCCGUGAGGAAGAAGUCGUAGUCCACCUCCGCGUGGCGCUGCGCCGACGCGUUGCGCACGGAGAGCCUGUUCACGGAGAAGCUCGGCGGGGCCGGCCGCAUCACCACGACGGAGAGCCAGACGCUGGCGCCCAGGAGCAGCACCGCGGCGGCCGCCAGGGCGAGCGUGAGCAGGAGGGGCGUGGAGCACGCGGAGCCGCCGCCGCUCUUGCCGCCGCCGGCGCGCUCCGCGCGGUACCGCUCGGCGAGGUAGGCGUUCUCGGGAGGCGGCACGCGGUAUAUCUGGUCCUUCUGGACCUUGACGACGUACGUCUCGUGCGGCGGGGCCCUGAGCUGGGCGAGGGCGGCGGAGGCCUGCUCGGGCACGGGCGGCGGGAGCGCCCUCUCCGCCAUGGAAGGAAAGAGGACGGCGAGGUGCGAGGGGGCGGGAGGGAGCUGGCGGAGGACGUCGCAUGAGGCGGGCGGAGGGCACGAUUUGGAGGGAAACCGGGGGGAGCGCCCGUGCGCGCCACGGUUUUGGCGACAUGCCUAUUGUUGGCGGGUGGCACGCACCACCGCUCAAGGCUCGUCGCAACGGCCGUCGCGCCCUGAUCGUAUUGUUUCUCGCGAAUUUGCUAGUUUCUCAUCAAAUGGAGAUUAUGUUUUGCGACUGAUAAUGAGAAUUAGCAAAGUCUAUCUAGCGAGGAUUAACAAAGUCUAUCUAAUUUAUAUGUCAUUGAUUUUACGUAGAGGUUCAUGUUAUUUCUCUUCUUCUUUGCACUCCCUGUUAUUCUGUUUGAUUGAGUGAGAUAUACCUAGAUAGACACCUUCUUUUAUUUUAUACUACUAGUAGAGGUCAUCUGAGAUCGGUGUGUCACAAAUGAAAUGCCCGAGUGUUCCAAAAUCAUGCGUCGAUGCCAACAAUCAUUUUUGCCAAGAGUCGGAAAGCAACGGAAAGAUCGGCCCCUUACGUAAUCUGCGUAUAACAAAUCUCUCGCGGCCUCUGAAUUCAAUUGGAUGGCCCCCCUUCCUAAUUUCCUCCAAAAAAACUUAAGAAUCUCCAAUGGCAACCCGCAGAUUUCCUCCCGCAUCCAUCCACGGAUACGAAUGCGGGAGGCCUCCAUCCAACGUUGUCCGCAUAUAUUUCAAUCCGUAUUUAGACAAACCGAAUGAAAUUCAUGCAAACCGACUAAUAUUCAUUAAAGUUCGGAUAGAAAAUAGCACAAAUCACUCAUACAUAGCAUGCAAAUUAAGCCUGGUACAACAAUGUCUCAAAUUCGACUAGAUUCCGUAUGUCCAACAAGUUUUUCAUCAACGGAUCAUGUUGUUCCACACAUACUUUCCCUUCAGCUUCAUCCAACAUUGUGUGCACGUAAAUGACCGUCCCUUCGUAUUGUGGUGCACCACGCAGUGCGUGCGGGCUACAUAUAAUGCGUAGACCAAACCAACAUUGAGUGAAUGAAUCAAUCAAUAAGUUGAGCAAGAGGAAGCAAAAGUUACGUCUCGUCCUCUGCCCCGUGCAAUGGUCACAUUGUCUCGAGCUGACGAACCACGUCACAAAACAUGAUGACGUUGGUCUGGAUAGUGUACCAACAAUACGAUAACGAACUCACGUUUGAGCUGUUGAAUGAUGAACAUGUUGUAGGUUGCAAUGUGAUUUUGUGCACGAAACUUUUCAUGCACUUGCUGCCAUAAGGUCACCCCUCUUCUCCUGCCUACGAAUUCCGCGGAUACGGCCAACCACGCAUCGCACAACAACUCAUCCUCCAUGAUCGAGUAGCUCACCAUCCUUCGUACUCUAAAAAACUACAUAACAUUUGAAAAAAAAUCAAUGGCAUUUGACCAAACACCUGUCGUGCGUGGUGUUCGCCAUGGAGGUCGUCGACGGCGGGGCGGAGCGUAUCUGGGUAGAAACGACUUCAAUGUGGACAACUCCGUUGUAAAGGCGAGCGGGCGCGUCGGUGCUGGUUGCGGACGUCCGACAAUGCCUCUAUGACGGCCGGAGACGUACAAUAAUGACGGCGGAGGUCGAGGGUGCGGAUACAAAGUAAGGAGGAGAAGGGGCAAAGUGAAAGGAAAUGGGACUGAGAGGGAGGAUUGGGUGGGCCGUGGGUGUCACAAUCCUACGUACUGUCCGGACUCCCGCAAAUCUCCUCUUAUUUUGUCUCCCAUUUGCAGGAGAAAAUACGUCCAGACCGCGGCGCGGACCGACACAUACCCAUGUUGAAUGACUUUCACGAUCCGAACGCAUGCGGGCGGUUUGCGUAUCCACGUUAAAGAUGCCCUUGCAUAGAUGUAGCAUUGCUCCCCCGUAUAUCCUCCCCUGGCUCUUCCGGAAAUGUGGCAGAGAUUCUAUCCUCGUUUAAAGAAAAACUCUCACAAUAUGUUUGAAGAAAAAUAUUACUACUACUGUAGUACUGUGGUGAAUUUUAACCAUUGUAUACCACUCCACUAAUCCCACUCGCCAAACGUUCUCAACUGACGAAUCGAAUGCCCUUCAUGGAUGGCAAUUAACAUCCAUUAACUGCACUAAAAGAAAAAAUAUUCUUGCUGCAAUGAAGUAGACCCUCUAAUGAAAAAUCAAUGCUGGUGUGCAGAACUGGAAACGCGCGAUGUGACUUGGUCAGUGGUGCAUGAAGACGAAGGAUCGCAUGGCUAGCAAGCAUGGAGGAAAUAUUUCCUUAAAAUAGUUGGGUGGGUCUCUUAGCCUGUCACAUUUUUAAUUCCCGGAAAAAAUGCACGUACUAAAGUAGCUAAACUUGUACCUUCGCCGCAUAAUCUCUACUAGCUCGUUGCCAAAAAAAUAAAAAUAAAAAAGUCAUGUACUUGGGCAGAGACUGCGUGAACGAUUGUCCAUCUGGUGCACUGAGCAGAGCUGUUGGAGUCGCCACACGGGCAAGUCUCUGCUCUCCUUUUCCUCGUCUGGAUUAGCCAACAGCCAAGUGUCAUAUCUGUCUCUUUCUACUCUUUAUUUUAUUUAUAGCAAGGGAGAGCAGUUUAGCCCACUUGCUCCUUGCACUUUUGUUUGGCGGGCAUGUAAAAAAGUACUCCCUCCGUAAACUAAUAUAAGAGCAUUUAGAACACUACUUUAGUAAUCUAAACGCUCUUAUAUUAGUUUACAGAGGGAGUAGAUAGUUUUUUUAAGUCGGCCUCUAAGAAUCUUGAUUCAUUAGAAAAGAAGAGGAUUGCUCGAUUAAUUAAUGAAAAACCAGUCCCGUAAUUUUUUGUAAUGAAAAACCAGGCUAAAACCGUCUCCGUAGCCCAAAGAAGGCAACACCGGGCAACGUGGACACCCACGCGAAGAUACAACAAUGCUGUAGAGAAGAAGCACAAAACCAAGGUCGUCACCAAGCCGAGUAGAUAGCUUCUUUUGUACUCCCUUAGAAUGUUUCUUCUUAAGCCUCUCUACAAAUUCCCUCAUUACCAUAGAGUGGCCAGCGGAACUAAAGAAAGACAAUGUCAUUGUUGUCGAAGUAUAAAAAGAAACACUGGUUGAUAAAACGGUUACCUUUUGCAAAAAUGAUAUUCUAAAUGCUCAGCAUCCAACAUGUUGGCCAACUUUGAGGUUACGUGAUGAAACAAAGAACUCAAGUCCACUUGAGAAAACAUUAUUUUCAACCCCAAAAAAUAUAUAAUAGCCAAUUUCAACUAAAAAACUAUAUGAACGCUUCAUGGCAAGUCAAGCUCAUAAAUUUAAGAUAUUUCGACACGAAAAGAGACCAAUAUCAUUCACUCGUGCGCGAGGGCUGGUUUUGCGCGCCCACCAUCACAUGCUGGUUAUGUUUUUCACGUGUUAUGUCUAUAUGUAAUUGGUUUCUUCUAGUUUAUCGCAGGCAACACGGAUUGAGUGAAGUAAAUGUGUUGGGUUUUUAUUUUGUUUGAUUUUCUUCCCGCGUGUUGUAAUUUGGACUUUUGGUAAACAAUGAUGUGGCUUUGUUAGCAGUGGGGUGUCUUUUGGUCUAUGUUUCCUUAAGUUUGCACUGGAUAAUCAAGUACUUUUUGUUCGGUAUUCACGAUACCGUAGAACUGGACCUUAAAAGCCUUGGAGAAAAAAGAUUGCGCACAAGAUACCAAGUUUUUACCAUUACAUCAUCAAAACUGUAGUGACACACUUAAGAUAAGUAGAUAACUCCCAUCUUCGAACUACCAUCCUUAGUAUCAUACCUAGUUUUCACGUUAGAAUGAUUCUUCUUAGCCUCUCUACAAAUCCCGCCGUUCCCAGGAGUGCAACCAAAACUGAAGAAAGACAAUGCCAUUGUUGUCUAAGUACAAGAAGAAACACCGGUUGACAAAAGCACUUACUUUUCGCAAAAAGGAUAUUCUAACUGUUUAGCAUCCAACUGGUUGGUGAGCUUUUGAGGUUACGUGAACGAAAACAUUCAACUCCACUUGAGGAAACAUUAUUUUUUACCCCCAAAACCAAAAAAAGCUUUCAACUAUAAAAACUACGUAAAAUCAAUGUGCAACAUUUUCAUGGCAAGUUAAACUCAGAAAUCCAAAUCAUUUCAACACAAAAAGAGACCAAUAACAUUCACUCGUGUGCGUGCACGAGUAUUACGUUGCGGUUUCUUCUAGUCUAUUGUAGGUAACACGGAUUGAGUGAAGUAAACGUGUCGGGCUUUCAGUUUUGUUUUUUUGUUUUGUUUUGUCUGCUUUACUUCUGUUGUCUGGCAAUUUGGACUUUCCGUAAACAAUAAUGUGGGUUUGCUAGCAGUAGGGUGUCUUUUGUUCUACGUUUCCUUAUGUUUGCGCCGGGUGAUCAAGUACUUUUUGUUUAGAUUCACGAUACCACGAAAAGUGGACCUAAAAAGCCGUAGAAAAAAAAAUGAGAAGGUGCAUAGUAUAAGUUCUUAGCGUUGCAUCAUCAAAAUUGUACUGACACACUCAAGAUAACUCUUUUCUUCGAGCUACCAUCGCCAGUAUCAUAAUUAGUUUCCACUUUAUCAUAACAAGUUCUUUUGUCGUUCUCGUGAGAUAGCGGAACCCAACCUAAAGUCGUAGGAACAAAAAGAUGACGCAAAGUGUACCGAGUCGUAGAGUUAUGCCAAAAAGUAUUUUUUUUCAAAGUUUCAUCGUCAAAAUUGUAAAUAGCAUAAACGGCCCCUAAAAAAGAAACCACGUAACACAAAUAGACAUGCGAGCAUUUUAAAAUGCGCAACAAGACUAGCGUGUCAUGUAAGGCAGGUUCUAUCCCAAUUAGUAGCACAAAAUUCAAAGGGGGAGAGAUGGUAGUGGUAGUUGUAGUAGCAGCAAUGGGUGGGUGUAUUUUUUUUUUGAGGGAACAAUGGAUGGAUGGAUUACCCAAAGCCGAAACAGAAAGGAUGGAUCCCAGAUCUGGUGCGGUUAAAAUCCAUGCGGCGGGUAGAAAGAUCGUCUAUAUCUGUUGGUAAAAAAAUUAAAAAGUAAGAAAAAUAAUACGGUGGUACGCUCGUCCCCUCCGGUCAGUCGUCCAAUCCAACCAGCAGUGCGGAGGAAGGGGAAGAGCUGAGGGAGCAGGGAGGAGGGGGGAGGAUGGCCAAGCCAGCCAAGGGGAAGGAAGGGAAGCCCUGCGCCGAGUCAAUUGGGUAUAUAAACCCACCAUCGCCUCCCUCCUCUCCCCUCUUUUGCAUGCCUCACCGGCCUCCUCCCCUCCCCUCCGCCCCAUCCGCCUCCCAAUGCACCACUGCUAACCCCUGCUCCCGAUCCCCGUUCCCGAUCCGCGGAUUCCCCGCCGACCCCGCCCGCCCCCGCCCCCUCCUCUUGCAAUCUCCGAUCGGAUUCUCUCUUCUCUUCUUCUCCUCCGCCUCCGCCUCCUCUCCGUUCUGGUUCCGUCGGGCGUUUGGUGUUUGAUCUGGCGAUGAAGGGCCCGGCGGCGGCGGCGCAGGCGGCGGCGGACGAGCGCCCCGAGGAGAAAGAGAUGGACUUGCUCCUCAGCGAGAUCCCCCAGGUCACCUCCCCGCAGGCGCACCGGGCCGGCGGCGGCGGCGCGCUCUCCCAGGGCCAUGGCGGCGGCGACCGCCGUCACGGGUUCGCGCCGCCGCGCUACGCCGCGUCGCCCCGCCGCGCCGACAACGCCUGCUACGCCGUCGUCGUCAACCGCCGCGACGACGGUGAUCACCAGGGCGGCGGGGGCGGGGGCGCGUACCACCCGCCGCUCCGCGUGUGCCCGGCGCCCCUGCAUCCGUCGAGCCCCUUCGUCGCCGCCGCGCCGUCCCCGCUCGGGCAGCCCGUAGACGACCCGGAGAAGCAGUGGCUGGCCAACCAGCUCCGCGGCCUGCUCGUCGAGGACGCGCCCGCCGCGCCCCAGCCCACGCCCGUCGGCAACGGCGCCCCGGCGGACUUCUCUGCGGCGCGUGGCGCCGCCUACUAUGGCUACCCCUUUGGGGCGCCGGGCUCCUCGGUUCCUGGCGAGCCCCUGGUGAACGAGCAGGCCAUGGCGGCCGGCUACCGCUUCGCGCUCGGACCGGACGUCGGCCUGGGCGGCCACCCCGGCGGCCUGGAGGUCAACAUGAACGGCUUCAUGUACAAUAGGACAGCAAACGGCACCGGCAUUGGUUGGGGACAGGGCCUGGUGCACCCUGCUCAUGCUCACCCCGAGCCUUUCAUGCUUCAUGGGCAGGCUGCCGCAGAACAGCACAACUGGGGGUUUGUUGGGACUGGCCCGAUUGCCCUUGAUCCCCGUGGUGGAGCAGCCCGUUCACCCAAACUGCACUGCGAGUACGGCGUGCCUGUGCAUACCGGCAAUCGCUACAUGAAAGGCGGCAUGAAUAAUCAGAUGGAGGCGUUUCGCUGCGAGGAUGGUCAGAAUUUCGAUGGCAAGAAGAACAUGCCUGUUCUCUACCGUGCCAAGGACAGGAGGUUUCAGCAGCAUGCCAACAACAACAGGGCACUGGAGAUGGAGAGUCCUAGGAUGCUGAGGUAUGAGAACAUGGUUGGAGUUAAGGGGUACAUCUACUUCAUGGCCAAGGACCAGAAUGGCUGCCGGUUCCUGCAGCAGAAGUUUGAGGAAGGGAAACAACACGUGGAUGUGAUUUUCGAAGGAAUCAUUGACCACAUGGCAGAGCUCAUGAUCAACUCGUUUGCCAACUAUCUCAUUCAGAAGCUUCUGAAUGUGUGUGAUGAGGAUCAGAGGCUGAGGAUCAUCGCCGUGCUGACGGAGGAUCCUGUGAAGCUGCUGAGAAUCUCUGUGAACUCUCAUGGGUAAUUUACCUUCUCUUGCCUAAACUGAUCAAUUAACUGCACCAUGAUCCUGAAAUUAGAAGUAAUUUUACUUGCUAACCAAUUGUCACAAAUUAUUACUGUAUUUUGAGAUUGCUGCAAUUUGUGUUUGGAUAAGGAAGUGCACUGGCAGUAGAAGUGUGAAAUGAUGCUUACAUUGCAACAUAAACCCCUUUUGUUACUAAAUGCAUGCAAAUGAUUGGUGAUGAUUUGGUUGUUGUGAUUUGUUUCAGCACAAGGGCAGUUCAGAAAUUGAUAGAGACUGUUAAGGUCAGGAAGCAGAUCGUGCUCAUUAUUUCGGCCCUACAGCCAGGCUUCAUGCAUCUUGUCAAUGAUCUCAAUGGUAAUCAUGUCAUACAGAAGUGCUUGUCAAACUUUGGUGCAGAGGAGAACAAGGUACAUAAUAGUACUUACAUAGCUAUUUUUGGCCAUAUAACUGACUUUGAGCAAUUAUUAGUUAUCAUUUUUUUGACAAAUACACUCCAUAAGUUUGAGAAUCAGCACCAUGACAAUGAAUUUAUCAGCUAUGUUCUGUGGACCUACCAUGCAACCUGCACAAUCUAGUGCAAAUUAAAUAUUGAAGUACUUGAACCUACACAUGUGCAUAAACUCAUAAGAAGUAUGUUGGCUUGAAUUUAUAACACGUUGUUCCGUGUUUACUUACAUUAUGUAAAUUUGCCGGCAGAUGAACAAAAACUAUACCUGUACAUCAGUAUGUGCAUAAUCUUAGAAGUUUAUCUUUGAAAGAGUUUCAUUAGCAGUUUAUAUGCGCUAGCCAAUAUUCAGGAGACUGUGUUUGCUGAUUGUUAUCUUAAUUCCAUAAGCAUCACUGUAUAUACAAAAGGUACCUAGGACUUUGAGGUAGGUAGUACUAGGUCUUAUUUUUAUGUAUCUGUGAUACUUGGGAUCUGGACGGCUAGGGAUAACUAAAAAAUGACCUGAAUUUAAGUUAACAGAUCGGGACAUUAAAAAAAUUCACGUCCUAAAAUAAUCCAAAACCUAAUUGUGGUUAUGCUUAACUAAAUUACUAGUGUUUAGGUUCUCCAGUGGACUAAUUUCUAGCAUAAUCAUCCUAACGAUGUUGGUUUGGUGUGACCCUUGAGCCCCCCCUCCCCCCCUUGUACUUGACUUUGAUUAUUAUAUCAUGUGCAUUCCUUUAUUCUUCUGUUGUCUUUUACAUAUUUCUGAACGUACCUUGUGUUUAAGUUACCAGAUCUUAUUUGUAUGUAUGUGUUAUACUUGGGGUCUGGACGACUAGGGAGACCUAAAAUAUGACCUGAAUUUUUACCAGAUCGGGACAUUAAAAAAAUCACGUCCUAAAAUAAUCCAAAACCUAAUUGUGGUUAUGCUUAACUAAAUUACGAGUGUUUAGGUUCUCAGUGGACUAAUUUAUUGCAUAAUCAUCUUAACGAUGUUGGUUUGGUGUGACCCUUUGAGUCCCCCCCUCUCCUUGUACUCGACUAUGAUUAUUAUAUCAUGCAUCCCUUUAUUCUUCUAUUGUCUUCUACAUAUUUCUGAACGUACCUUGUGUUGGAGAAUAACCCGCAAGACUAAUAUCAGCAGGAAUAUUUGAUUGAUGCUAAGUUUUCUUUUAACAUGGGAAUAUCUCGAUCGUGAAGUUAAUGUACCAGACCUUAUACAAGUAUAUUCUGCACUUACAUUAUCCAAUGGCAAAUGCCAACGUAUAGAAAUUUAUUUAUGGAGCAAGUAUGAUCGCCUUACAAACUGUCAAUAACUCAAUGUCAUUUUGAACGUCAUAUCUAGUGGUGAGCAUGUUGGGUAAAUUAGUAGUGUGUUAUGGAAUUCUUAUGCAAGUGUAUGAAGCUAUGCAGUUAUCUUGCUUGAUUUGAUUAUAUCGUUAUCAUCUGUGAUGUAUUUAUUGAUUUAUUCUACUCUCUUUGGACAGUUCAUAUUUGAGGCUGCUGCAACUCACUGUUUUGAGAUGGCAAUGCAUCGCCAUGGCUGCUGUGUUUUACAAAAGUGCAUAACUAGUGCACGUGGUGAAUAUCAGGCGAAGCUAAUUGUGGAAGUGUGUGCUCAUGCCUUUCAGCUCGCUCAAGAUCCAUUUGGGUAAACCCACCCUUCCUCUUUAUUAUCUUGUACUUUAUGCUAUUUAUAAAGGAACAUUCUUGCACUAUGUCUUCCCAAUUCUUUUGUGAAGCAGUUUUACUUGUCUGCUUACUUGUAGAGAUCUUAUCAGUGACAUGUUAUCAACACUAGAUAUAUAGAUUCAUAUUACUGGUGGAUUUAAUUAAAGGGAAGAAUAUCCAGCUUAUACUGAUAAUACUUUUUUGAUAUUGUUGCUCGUUGCUCGCAUUAUAUCAUUAACUGAUCUUUUGCUGGAGUAAGAGUUAUCUUCACCUCCCUUCUCAGAAGAACCAUAUCUUCACACCAUCAGCUUGAUUAGCCCCUUGACCUUAAAAAUCUUAUUUUCCCAUAGUUUCUGUUGCUCUAGAUUCAACUCAUUUUCAGGCGAUAACAUGUAACAGUAAUUAGUCUUCACGGUCUGUGCAUUUCACAGACAAUACAAUAAGGGUGCUGAUAAUGGAAUGAACUGUGCCCUGAUUACAUGAACCCAACCUUUGUUGUAAUACCUUCAAUUCUUUUUUUCUUGCUCCCUUGUAUAAUCUGGGAGUUAGACAUCCCCAACCAGAUUUAUCUUUUGGCAAGUAGUGAAUGUAUCUCCAUCAUGUGUUUCGUUUCUCUGUCAUGAGAUUAACUUGGUAUUUUUCAAGCAUGUGUUUGGCAACAUGUAAACUAUAUUAACUCUGAUAAAACUAAAGUUGUUUCCUAUUUCCCCUUGUUUCAGCAAUUAUGUGGUACAGUAUGUCCUGGACCAGAAAAUUCCUUCUGCAAAUGCACACCUGGCAUCUCAGUUUGAAGGAAGUUAUGUUUAUCUCUCAAAGCAAAAAGUGAGCAGCAAUGUGGUGGAGAAAUGCCUGAAGGUCUUCUCAGAUGAAGACAAAGCUGCCAUAGUGUUUGACCUGAUUUCAGUGCCUCAUUUUGAACAACUGCUGCAAGACCCUUUUGCGAACUAUGUCAUUCAUACUGCCCUUGUUAACAGCAGGGUGAGUGUUUCGAUCCAUAUGAUUUUUCAAAGUACGUCAAAUUACAGCAUGCAUAUUGCUCACUAUCGUUUUUCCUUGACAGGGCCAUCUCCAUAAUGCGCUGGUUGAAGCAAUCCGCCCUCAUGAAGAAGCCCUUCGGACCAGUCCCUGUUGUAAGAGAAUCUCUAGAGCCAUCUCUAGGAGGUGAAAGGUGUACAAUCUGCAGCGCCAAAGAAAUCUGUAUUGUUGUCAAUUUAUGUUUCACUAGCUGUUUACUAUGAUGUAUCUGCACACGGUCUUCUGAGUUCAGAAGGGUGGUUUUUGGCUGCAAGAAAGGUUCGACACAUCGUCAACUUCUGUAGAAUUUACCAGGUGUUGCCAUCCGAGAUGUACGUUUUGCUGGGCGCCUAUUCCGAUGGUGAUGGUGUAGAGUUGUAAAGAAAAAACGUGUGCUUUCCGAGUUGUCUAUUUUGUAUCUGCUGUAUCGUUUUCCUUUGGAUUGUUGGACGGAGAAUAAUUAGUAAUGGUGGACAAGUUGCUAUAGUUGCUAUAUAUUUUGGUCACUCCAACUUGCUUGAACUCUUCUCUCCAGUUUUGGUAAUGAAAUAAUAGCUCAUCAUGAUCAUGUCUGUGGUAUUACAGAAAAUAUAUUGUAGUGCUCACCUGUUUUGCCUGUUACAGAAGGUAUAUAUGGCGGGCGUUUCAUUCAGUACAGUCGAUAUACUGUUGGACCAAAGCUGAUUGAUUAUAUGAG